rnacentral:rRNA from 1 species
CUACGGGUCGCUGCAGUGGGGAAUAUUGCACAAUGGGCGCAAGCCUGAUGCAGCCAUGCCGCGUGUAUGAAGAAGGCCUUCGGGUUGUAAAGUACUUUCAGCAGGGAGGAAGGGAGUAAAGUUAAUACCUUUGCUCAUUGACGUUACCCGCAGAAGAAGCACCGGCUAACUCCGUGCCAGCAGCCGCGGUAAUACGGAGGGUGCAAGCGUUAAUCGGAAUUACUGGGCGUAAAGCGCACGCAGGCGGUUUGUUAAGUCAGAUGUGAAAUCCCCGGGCUCAACCUGGGAACUGCAUCUGAUACUGGCAAGCUUGAGUCUCGUAGAGGGGGGUAGAAUUCCAAGUGUAGCGGUGAAAUGCGUAGAGAUCUGGAGGAAUACCGGUGGCGAAGGCGGCCCCCUGGACGAAGACUGACGCUCAGGUGCGAAAGCGUGGGGAGCAAACAGGAUUAGAUACCCCUGUAGUC